rnacentral:rRNA from 1 species
GAUGAACGCUGGCGGCGUGCCUAAUACAUGCAAGUCGAGCGAACAGAUGAGGAGCUUGCUCCUCUGACGUUAGCGGCGGACGGGUGAGUAACACGUGGAUAACCUACCUAUAAGACUGGGAUAACUUCGGGAAACCGGAGCUAAUACCGGAUAAUAUAUUGAACCGCAUGGUUCAAUAGUGAAAGACGGUUUUGCUGUCACUUAUAGAUGGAUCCGCGCCGCAUUAGCUAGUUGGUAAGGUAACGGCUUACCAAGGCAACGAUGCGUAGCCGACCUGAGAGGGUGAUCGGCCACACUGGAACUGAGACACGGUCCAGACUCCUACGGGAGGCAGCAGUAGGGAAUCUUCCGCAAUGGGCGAAAGCCUGACGGAGCAACGCCGCGUGAGUGAUGAAGGUCUUCGGAUCGUAAAACGCUGUUAUUAGGGAAGAACAAAUGUGUAAGUAACGAUGCACGUCUUGACGGUACCGAAGCAGAAAGCCACGGCUAACUACGU